AUCUGAAAGACAAGUGAAGAGGAGAACUAAGGGUAUUAGAGAGAUUUCAUUUGGAAAUUACAUGAAGAAUUAAGGAGAAAACUAAGGCUGAGAGAGAGAUUAGAAAGUUAUAUAUUGAAGAGUCAAUUUAAAUAAUUAGUUUACAAAAGUACAUAUUAGCAAUAAUGCAUAUUAAUAAUGAAUGAAUGAAAAGAUAGAAAAAAAUGAGAGAAUAU